rnacentral:rRNA from 1 species
CAUGUGGGGCAAGCGUUGUUCGGAAUUACUGGGCAUAAAGGGUGCGUAGGUGGCUUGUUAAGUCAGGGGUGAAAGUUUUCGGCCCAACCGGAAAAUGGCCUUUGAUACUGGCGAGCUCGAGUGCGUGAGGGGUAACCGGAACGAGCAGUGUAGCGGUGAAAUGCGUAGAUAUUGCUCGGAAGGCCAACGGCGAAGGCAAGUUACUGGUGCGCAACUGACACUGAGGCACGAAAGCGUGGGGAGCAAACAGGAUUAGAUACCCUGGUAGUCCACGCCGUAAACGAUGAGCACUAGGUAGGUGCCGAGCUAUUCGGUGCCUGCCGCAGGUAAUUUGGUAAGUGCUCCGCCUGGGGAGUAUGGUCGCAAGGCUG